rnacentral:rRNA from 1 species
AUACGUCGGUGACAAGCGUUAUCCGGAUUUACUGGGCGUAAAGGGCGUGUAGGCGGUCUUGCAAGUCAGAAGUGAAAUUCCUGAGCUCAACUCGGGCGCUGCUUCUGAAACUGCAGGACUUGAGUGCUGGAGGGGAUAGCGGAAUUCCUAGUGGAGCGGUAAAAUGCGCAGAUAUUAGGAAGAACACCAGUGGCGAAGGCGGCUCUCUGGUCUGUAACUGACGCUGAGGCUCGAAAGCGUGGGGAGCAAACAGGAUUAGAUACCCUGGUAGUCCACGCCGUAAACGAUGAGUGCUAAGUGUUGGAGGGUUUCCGCCCUUCAGUGCUGCAGCUAACGCAUUAAGCACUCCGCCUGGGGAGUACGGCCGCAAGGCUGAAACUCAAAGGAAUUGACGGGG